rnacentral:tRNA from 1 species
GGCUGUAGCUCAGUGGUAGAGCACUUGCCUAGCACGUGUGAGGCACUGGGUUCGAUUCUCAGCACCA